rnacentral:rRNA from 1 species
AGAUUAGCCAUGCAUGUCUAAGUAUAAGUUCUAUACUGCGAAACUGUGAAUGGCUCAUUAUAACAGUUAUUAUUUGCUGACUGGUCAGUACCUCAUUGGAUACCCAUGGUAAUUCUAGAGCUAAUACAUGCUUACAAACCCGACUUCUUGGAAGGGUUGCGCUUAUUAGAUACCGAACCAACCCCGAAAGGGUCCUUGUUGAUUCAUAGUGUUCUGGCGAAUCGACUUCUACGUCGAUGAAGUGAUCAAGUUUCUGACCUAUCAGCUUCCGGCGGUAGGGUAUUGGCCUACCGUGGCUUUGACGGGUAACGGAGAAUUAGGGUUCGAUUCCGGAGAGGGAGCCUGAGAAACGGCUACCACAUCUAAGGAAGGCAGCAGGCGCGUAAAUUACCCAAUCCUGACACAGGGAGGUAGUGACAAGAAAUAUCAAUAUAGGGCUUUUGUGUCUUGUAAUUGGGAUGAGCGGAACCUAAAUCGCUUCUCGAGUAUCAAUUGGAGGGCAAGUCUGGU